UUUAUUUAUAUUCUGUUCGUCGUAAUCCAAAACUCUUUGUAUUUAUAUGGGAUGUUGUGGAAACGCAACAAUAAAUGCAAAAACACAACAUUUAUAUUCGCUUUUUAAUUUAUAUUAAAAGUUUAUUCAUCUGAAUGUCUACUUCCGCAUUCCAAUCCUGCUAACAGCGUCAUAAUUAUCUAUACCAAUAAGCUGUAAAAUCGUCACUCAUCUGUACACCAAUAAGCUCAUCUUAAUCAUAAACCAAUAACCGCUGAGGUGGGCGGGGCGACACCUCCCCUCGUCCAGACUGCACUCUGGCCUACUUGCUUACUGCUGUGUUUCCUGUAUCAUCAAUAUAAAGGUCCAGUUUGGCCUGUUUAAGGCUGCUUGAGUUUAUUUGAGUGUUCACAGACUCCUCUUGUUGGCUUCUGAAGCUGAUAACAUGUGGUUGAUUGUACAAAGCACAAACAUAGCAGUACAGCUCUGCAGAGAGUUUUUAAGUGUGACUGAAGGACUUUAUUUUUGUCAAAGGCCAGUGUGAAGUGAAACCACUUCCUGUGUAAAUUUAACAGUAUUUAAAAAAAAAAACAUUCUAAAUAUGACAGUUCACUGUGAAGAUACACUAUCAGACAACCGUGGAUAAUGGAUUUAGAGGCUAUUUAUGAAAAUGUUGAACGCAGAGAUUUUCAGAAAACAACUGGUCCUCAAACUCAGAGUCAAAGCCAAGAUGAAGGAAAAGAUCUAAAGCACAGAGGAAGUAGAUGUUUGGUGUUGAUCACAGUGGGUCUCGGGCUCAUUUGUGUUCUUCUGCUGGUCUUCAUCAUACUGCAGCACAACACCAUCACAGCAGAGAGAGACCUGAUCAAGAGUUACAAGAACACAGUUAAGGAGCUUAAUCAAACCAUCAACAGCUUACAGGACAAUUACACUGAUCUAAUGACUGAAAAACACCAACUGCAGAACAACUUCAACUCUUUGAGUCAGAAGAACCUGGAGCUGGAGACCAAAGUCAAUGAUCUCACUGCUGAGAAAAACCAGUAACAGAGAGAUUUUAAAUCUCUGAAUGAGAAGAAUGGUUCAGUUUGUUUUUUCAUGUCCAGUGAGUUGAAGAGCUGGUCUGACAGCAGACAGUACUGCAGGGAGCGUGGUGCUGAUCUGGUCAUUAUCAACACUGAAGAGAAGCAGAAGUUUAUAUCUUCAUUCAUCAAAGAGAGAGUGUGGAUUGGUUUGUCUGACAGAGAGCAGGAGGGCGUCAUGAAAUGGGUGGAUAAUUCAACACUGAAACAAGGGUUUUGGAUCAAAGGUGAGCCGAAUGACGAACAUGGAAUUGAGGACUGCAUUGAACUGACGCCUUCACAUCCCGCACUGAACUGGAAUGAUCUGCCAUGUUCAGAGAUGAGAAAAGGGUUUUGUGAGAAAUAGGAUAUGGUUUUGCUUCUGUUGUUUUAUGGAAUCAUUCUUAUUGCGACUGCAUUAUAUAUGAUUCAGGUUUCUGCCUUAGCAGUCCACUAUUUUCUUUUUAUAUAA